rnacentral:lncRNA from 10 species
CUUGCCACUGCCAUGUAAGAAGUGCCUUUCACCACCCCCACACCCUGCCAUGACUCUGAGGCCUCCCCAGCCACGUGGAACUGAGGCAGCUGUAUGGAGGCCAAUAUGCAGACAAGGGAAGUAACUCAGGCAUUUUGGGGGAGAGGUACAGAAAGAAGAGAAAAGACUGAACUGACUGCUGUUCUGAACAAGAACUGUGACUAUAUGUGGUACUCCCAGAAUGCUGGUUUCCUUUCAGACCCAUCAAGUGGCCAUCCUAUUGGCUUGGACUGAAGACCCCCACUGGAGAACUGUCUCUGCAGCCUAUACUGAUGACACUGGCCACUGUCCAGGGCUCCACCCCAAGGAGUCCAAGCCCCAGACAUUUAGCCUUAGAGAGAAUCCAGAUUUUGCAUUUCCAGUGCAGGGAUUGAUGGAGCCUUGUGUAUCAAAGUGCCAAUUUCUUUCUAACAAGCUAGGGAGGAUACCGUUGACAGCAGCAGAAAGGGGUAGCAGUGGUUUGCUUUCCAAAUGGUAAUAAGAAGGGCCUGGCAGUGGCAACCUGUCCACGUAUCAUUAAAAAUGGACUCUCCUGCUUCGUUUGGAAUUCAACCCAAUGAACUUGAAUAAACUCUGGACAAUGACCAGCACAGAGCCCUAAGCAGGAUACAGCAAGAUUAUUUGCUUUACUCAUCCACUGAGUACCUACCAUGUGCCAAAUACUAUGCUAUAUGCCGAGUAUACACUGGCAAAUAAAACAGAUAUGGUCCCUGGAGCCUAUGAAUCUUACCCCAUCUAGCCACAAAUAAUAAAAAUAAGAAGAAUCUGAAGGACAAGUGGGACAGAAAUACUCAAGCAGAAUGAGGGUGAGAUUGAAGUCCCUGAACAUACAGUGCCCUUUACACUUGAUCUUAGCCAAAAGGCCGAGAAGAGAUUACAGUGCUUUUUAAAGGUAGCAUUUCACCCAGCCAAUAAUCAAUCCCUUUGGCCUUCUUGAGGUGCAAGGCCACACACUCAAAUUCUUUAAUCAAACAAUAGGCUAGUGCAAAUGGAGCUAUUUCUUAAACCCAGCUGUUUACACAGCAGCUACAAAUCUGUUCAGAAGGAAUCCCCCACCAUCCACAACUGUCUAUCGAGCAGAUGUGCAAGAGUAUUUGUCUCUCACCACCAGGGUUGCAGUCAGGACAAGAGAGCAGGUUUGAACGUCUUCGGCUCCUAGAACUGCACAAGCUGUGUCUUCAGUGCCCAGAGGCGGCUGCAACGUCUCCCCAGUUCUCCUCUCAGAACAAUGGAAAUUUUUUUUAGAGGCGUAAUAGGAAGGUUUGCAUUGAAUUAUUAAACAAUGGGUAUUGAAAAAUAUGUUUUCUUUGACCUCUGUACUUCUAGCUUUUACCAGUCAGUGUUUUCUUGUACCAAGGCUAAGAUAUGUAUAACACUGAAAUGGAUGUCUUCUUAUAUAAUAUUUUACAAGCUUUUGAAAACCUGUGCCCUUUAAUAAAUUUUAAAACGUUU